ACGCUGGCGGCAGGCCUAACNACAUGCAAGUCGAGCGAGACCUUCGGGNNUNCUAGCGGCGGACGGGUUAGUAACGCGUGGGAAUAUACCCUUCACUACGGAAUAGCCUCGGGAAACUGGGAGUAAUACCGUAUACGCCCUUCGGGGGAAAGAUUUAUCGGUGAAGGAUUAGCCCGCGUCUGAUUAGAUAGUUGGUGGGGUAACGGCCUACCAAGUCGACGAUCAGUAGCUGGUUUGAGAGGAUGAUCAGCAACACUGGGACUGAGACACGGCCCAGACUCCUACGGGAGGCAGCAGUGGGGAAUCUUAGACAAUGGGCGCAAGCCUGAUCUAGCCAUGCCGCGUGAGUGACGAAGGCCUUAGGGUCGUAAAGCUCUUUCGCCAGAGAUGAUAAUGACAGUAUCUGGUAAAGAAACCCCGGCUAACUCCGUGCCAGCAGCCGCGGUAAUACGGAGGGGGUUAGCGUUGUUCGGAAUUACUGGGCGUAAAGCGCGCGUAGGCGGACUAUUAAGUCAGGGGUGAAAUCCCGGGGCUCAACCCCGGAACUGCCUUUGAUACUGGUAGUCUAGAGUUCGAGAGAGGUGAGUGGAAUUCCGAGUGUAGAGGUGAAAUUCGUAGAUAUUCGGAGGAACACCAGUGGCGAAGGCGGCUCACUGGCUCGAUACUGACGCUGAGGUGCGAAAGUGUGGGGAGCAAACAGGAUUAGAUACCCUGGUAGUCCACACCGUAAACGAUGAAUGCCAGACGUCGGGGGGCUUGCCCUUCGGUGUCACACCUAACGGAUUAAGC
rnacentral:rRNA from 1 species